GAUGAACGCUGGCGGCGUGCUUAACACAUGCAAGUCGAACGAAGCAAUUUAGCGGAAGUUUUCGGAUGGAAGUUAAAUUGACUGAGUGGCGGACGGGUGAGUAACGCGUGGGUAACCUGCCUCACACUGGGGGACAACAGUUAGAAAUGACUGCUAAUACCGCAUAAGCGCACAGGACCGCAUGGUCCGGUGUGAAAAAACUCCGGUGGUGUGAGAUGGACCCGCGUUUGAUUAGCUAGUUGGUGGGGUAACGGCCUACCAAGGCGACGAUCAAUAGCCGACCUGAGAGGGUGACCGGCCACAUUGGGACUGAGACACGGCCCAAACUCCUACGGGAGGCAGCAGUGGGGAAUAUUGCACAAUGGGGGAAACCCUGAUGCAGCGACGCCGCGUGAGUGAUGAAGUAUUUCGGUAUGUAAAACUCUAUCAGCAGGGAAGAUAAUGACGGUACCUGACUAAGAAGCACCGGCUAAAUACGUG
rnacentral:rRNA from 1 species